GGGCCCUUAACUCAGUCUGGAAGAGUACCUGGUUCGCAUCCAGGAAGCCGCGGGUUCAAAUCCACUGAGGGUUCCCCUCAAGGGUGGAUAUCCCGCAGGGUCCACCA
rnacentral:tRNA from 1 species